rnacentral:rRNA from 1 species
AUUGAACGCUGGCGGCGUGCUUAACACAUGCAAGUCGAGCGGUAAGGCCCUUCGGGGUACACGAGCGGCGAACGGGUGAGUAACACGUGGGUGAUCUGCCCUGCACUUCGGGAUAAGCCUGGGAAACUGGGUCUAAUACCGGAUAUGACCUUGGACAUACAGGGCGGUUGAAAGUUUUUCGGCUAGGGAUGGGCCCGCGGCCUAUCAGCUUGUUGGUGGGGUAAUGGCCUACCAAGGCGACGACGGGUAGCCGGCCUGAGAGGGCGACCGGCCACACUGGGACUGAGACACGGCCCAGACUCCUACGGGAGGCAGCAGUGGGGAAUAUUGCGCAAUGGGCGAAAGCCUGACGCAGCAACGCCGCGUGAGGGAUGACGGCCUUCGGGUUGUAAACCUCUUUCAGCAGGGACGAAGCGAAAGUGACUGUACCUGCAGAAGAAGCGCCGGCUAACUACGUGCCAGCCGCCGCCGUAAGAC